GCAUUGUCAGCUGGAGCGUUCGGUGGACAGUGAGCAUGCGUACCAUAUCUGAAGUUCGUAAAUUGAAAUUGAACAUGCGUAAUUAAUCUUUCUGAAUAGGAAAAAAUAUAUACACAACAAAACUCUCCGUUUAUGGAACAUGCGCAUUUGUUCUCAGUAAGUUUUUCGUUUUGAAAGUGAGCAUGCGCAUGGUGAGUAGGUUGGUCCGAAGUUUGAACCGGACAGAAGCGCUGGUCGGCGUCUGGCGGUUGUUUUUAGAGGUAAUACACCUAGUUUGUGGCUCAGCAUGUCAAUUGUAACAGUGCAACUUGGUCAGUGUGGCAAUCAGAUUGGUUUUGAAGUUUUUGAUGCUUUGCUUAGUGACUCACACAGUUCCCAGGGACUCUGCUCUAUGAGAGAGAAUGAGGCAUAUCAAGCAUCUUGCAAAGAAAGAUUCUUCAGUGAGGAGGAGAAUGGAGAAUCUCACUCUGUCUCCCAGGCUGGAGUGCAGUGGUGCAACCUUGGCUCAGUGCAACCUCCGCCUUCCAGGUUCAAGCAGUUCUCCUGCCUCAGCCUCCCGAGUAGCUGGAAUUACAG
rnacentral:lncRNA from 10 species